rnacentral:rRNA from 1 species
GAUGAACGCUAGCGGCAGGCCUAAUACAUGCAAGUCGAACGGUGUCUUCGGACAUAGUGGCGCACGGGUGCGUAACACGUAUGCAACCUACCUUACAUUGGGGGGAUAGCCUUUCGAAAGGGAGAUUAAUACCGCAUAAGACAGUAGCUGGGCAUCCAGCAGCUGUUAAAGAUUUAUCGAUGUAAGCUGGGCAUGCGUCCAAUUAGCUAGUUGGUGAGGUAACGGCUCACCAAGGCAAUGAUUGGUAGGGGAACUGAGAGGUCAAUCCCCCACACUGGCACUGAGAUACGGGCCAGACUCCUACGGGAGGCAGCAGUAGGGAAUAUUGGGCAAUGGACGCAAGUCUGACCCAGCCAUGCCGCGUGCAGGAUGAAGGCGUUAUGCGUUGUAAACUGCUUUUAUACAGGAAGAAACGACUCUUGCGAGAGGCAUUGACGGUACUGUAUGAAAAAGCACCGGCUAACUCCGUACCAGCAGCCGCAGUAAUAC